rnacentral:misc_RNA from 1 species
AUGAGGCAAAGGGCGGCCCAACCGCCGCCCGGAGCCGACCCUCUCCACCCUGCCUUUUUGAAAACCUCACCUCCUCCCCGGCCUCCGCGCCGGGCUGGCUUACUUGAAAAAACCUUGCAGUUAUAGUCUAUUCAGUUAUUUUAAACAAAAUUACAACUUUCAACAAUGGAUCUCUUGGCUCUGGCAUCGAUGAAGAACGCAGCGAAAUGCGAUAAGUAGUGUGAAUUGCAGAAUUCAGCGAAUCAUCGAAUCUUUGAACGCACAUUGCGCCCUUCGGUUAUUCCUUAGGGCAUGCCUGUUCGAGCGUCAUUUCAACCUUCAAGCCUGGCUUGGUGUUGGGCGCUGUCCCGCCCCCGCGCGCGGACUCGCCUCGAAUGAAUUGGCAGUCGCACCCUCCGAGCCGCGAGCGCAGCACAAGUCGCGCCCGCCGGCCCGCUGGGACGGACGCUCCACGAGACCCCCCACAGUCUUGACCUCGGAUCAGGUAGGGAUACCCGCUGAACUUAAGCAUAUCAAUAA